GCUAAGUGAAUGCGAGAAUGGAAGAUCACUCUAGCUUCGACUUCAUGAGCUUCAACAGUCAAGAGUUGAAGACUAGUCCUUUCAAACAGGGGUCAGUGAUAGCUAUAAGCUAUAAGCUGGUAUGCAUAAUGACUUUAGUCUUCUUAUCAUUAUGUCCAUCAUCUCCACACACACACAUGCUGCAUAAUCUACUGUUCCAUGGGCUGGACAAGACUAGAUCUACAUUCUCUUCUGGCAUGUAACUUCAGCGGGAUCAGGUGGCGUAUACGGCACCGGAUGUGGACACGCCCUAAUUUUUGUUAUUUUCCCUAAGCUAACCCAAAUCCCUCCCCCUUCAAAAUUACAUCCAGUGCCGUAUAUGCCACCUGACCCCUUUAGCGUAGAUGACUCUGCUGACCGUGGCAGACGAGGAGGGUAUUGUGGGACAGUGUACGACACAGGAGAAAACUUUCUGAAUUUAUCUCCGGGAAUGUAGAAUGGCAAAUUUUUCCGGGGGCGACACACUCCUCAUUUCAAAGACUUUAAGCCCUAUGACACCCUUGACUGUGGUACUGAAACCAUAUUACACCCAGCACAGAGACGGCCAGAUACAAAAUGGCCGCAAUAAAGUAACCAGUAGUGCAUCUAGUGUGACAGCUGUGGUCUUCCAUGGAGACGAGAUAGCUUCUUGUGGAAUCAGUGAUUGUGUUGUGAAGUUAUGAGACAUGUGACGAUACUACACAAACUGGCACAAACGUACCUCACCCUCCUGCUGACAUUCAUUUGCCUCCGUGAAGAGAGGGGGCGUGUCUACCAGUUCAACUCCCUCGUGGCUGACACCCAUCAGAGCUGUAUCUAUGCCAGUGCAUGCCACUGAUGACAUGUGAAUGUGAGGAACUCCCGAGCUCCAGUCCCCCCCUCUACUGCUCCAUAGUCACAGCAAGGAGGUGAUAGCUGUAGACUGGUGUCCCAACCAACCUGGACAAGAGUUGAAGCCCAGCAAAUCAACCAAAGGCUUUUAAAUGCUAUACGACAUGUAGAGUCCGGUGGAGAUAAUUGUGCAAUUGGUGACAAACAAUUUAGCAACAAAGCUUUGGGCCCAUACCAAAUUCGCAAGCCCUACUACGAU